rnacentral:rRNA from 1 species
UACGGAGGGUGCAAGCGUUAUCCGGAUUCACUGGGUUUAAAGGGUGCGUAGGUGGGCGGGUAAGUCCGUGGUGAAAUCUCUGAGCUUAACUCAGAAACUGCCGUGGAUACUAUUUGUCUUGAAUGUUGUGGAGGUGAGCGGAAUAUGUCAUGUAGCGGUGAAAUGCUUAGAUAUGACAUAGAACACCAAUUGCGAAGGCAGCUCACUACACAAUUAUUGACGCUGAGGCACGAAAGCGUGGGGAUCAAACAGG